rnacentral:rRNA from 1 species
UACAGAGGGCCCGAGCGUUGUUCGGAUUCAUUGGGCGUAAAGGGUGCGUAGGCGGUCUUCUAAGUUCGAUGUGAAAUCCCGGGGCUCAACCCUGGAAUUGCAUUGAAUACUGGAGGACUAGAGUACCGGAGAGGAAACUGGAAUUUACGGUGUAGCAGUGAAAUGCGUAGAGAUCGUAAGGAAGACCAGUGGCGAAGGCGAGUUUCUGGACGGUAACUGACGCUGAGGCACGAAGGCCAGGGGAGCAAACGGG